CUGCUCCUAGUACGAGAGGACCGGAGUGGACGCAUCACUGGUGUUCGGGUUGUCAUGCCAAUGGCACUGCCCGGUAGCUAAAUGCGGAAGAGAUAAGUGCUGAAAGCAUCUAAGCACGAAACUUGCCCCGAGAUGAGUUCUCCCUGACUCCUUGAGAGUCCUGAAGGAACGUUGAAGACGACGACGUUGAUAGGCCGGGUGUGUAAGCGCAGCGAUGCGUUGAGCUAACCGGUACUAAUGAACCGUGAGGCUUAACCUUACAACGCCGAAG
rnacentral:rRNA from 1 species